AGCGAACGCUGGCGGCAUGCCUAACACAUGCAAGUCGCACGGGGGGGCUUCGGCCUCCCAGUGGCGGACGGGUGAGGAACGCGUAGGGACCUGUCGAGGGGUGGGGGAUAACCGCGGGAAACUGCGGCUAAUACCGCAUGACGCCGCGGCGUGACAGCCGGGGCCAAAGGCGAAAGCCGCCCGCCGAGGGGCCUGCGUCCGAUUAGCUGGUUGGCGGGGUAGCGGCCCGCCAAGGCGUCGAUCGGUAGCUGGUCUGGGAGGGUGAUCAGCCACACCGGGACUGAGACACGGCCCGGACUCCUACGGGAGGCAGCAGUGGGGAAUAUUGGACAAUGGGCGCAAGCCUGAUCCAGCAAUGCCGCGUGGGUGAAGAAGGUCUUCGGAUUGUAAAGCCCUUUCGGCGGGGACGAUGGUGACGGUACCCGCAGAAGAAGCCCCGGCUAACUUCGUG
rnacentral:rRNA from 1 species